rnacentral:rRNA from 1 species
GAUGAACGCUGGCGGCGUGCCUAAUACAUGCAAGUCGAGCGAACAGACGAGGAGCUUGCUCCUCUGACGUUAGCGGCGGACGGGUGAGUAACACGUGGAUAACCUACCUAUAAGACUGGGAUAACUUCGGGAAACCGGAGCUAAUACCGGAUAACAUGUUGAACCGCAUGGUUCAACAGUGAAAGACGGUUUUGCUGUCACUUAUAGAUGGAUCCGCGCCGCAUUAGCUAGUUGGUAAGGUAACGGCUUACCAAGGCAACGAUGCGUAGCCGACCUGAGAGGGUGAUCGGCCACACUGGAACUGAGACACGGUCCAGACUCCUACGGGAGGCAGCAGUAGGGAAUGUUCCGCAAUGGGCGAAAGCCUGACGGAGCAACGCCGCGUGAGUGAAGAAGGUCUUCGGAUCGUAAAACUCUGUUAUUAGGGAAGAACAAAUGUGUAAGUAACUAUGCACGUCUUGACGGUACCUAAUCAGAAAGCCACGGCUAACUACGUG